rnacentral:rRNA from 1 species
GGGCUAGUAUGAAUGGUUUGACGUGAACAAGACUGUCUCUAUAUAAUUUUUUAGAAUUUGAUUUUUAGGUGAAGAAACCUAAAUAUUAUUGAAAGACAAGAAGACCCUAUUGAGCUUUAAAAGAAUAAAUUGAAAAUAGCAUAUAAUUUUAAAUGUUAAUCUAUUAAAGAUUUUGGUUGGGGCGACUAUGGAACAAAUAAAGCUUCUUUAUAAUUAGUAAAACUAACGAGUAUUGAUCCAGAAAUUUUGAUUAAUGAAAUUAGUUACCAUAGGGAUAACAGCAUA